AAACUUUCAACAACGGAUCUCUUGGUUCUGGCAUCGAUGAAGAACGCAGCGAAAUGCGAUAAGUAAUGUGAAUUGCAGAAUUCAGUAAAUCAUCGAAUCUUUGAACGCACAUUGCGCCCCUUGGUAUUCCGGGGGGCAUGCCUGUUCGAGCGUCAUU
rnacentral:rRNA from 1 species